rnacentral:rRNA from 1 species
AACGAACGCUGGCGGCAGGCCUAACACAUGCAAGUCGAACGGACGUAGCAAUACGUUAGUGGCGCACGGGAGAGUAACGCGUGGGAACCUACCUUUUGGUUCGGGAUAACAUCGGGAAACUGGUGCUAAUACCGGAUAAGCCCUUCGGGGGAAAGAUUUAUUGCCGAAAGACGGGCCCGCGUUGGAUUAGCUAGUUGGUGAGGUAAUGGCUCACCAAGGCAACGAUCCAUAGCUGGUCUGAGAGGAUGAUCAGCCUCACUGGGACUGAGACACGGCCCAGACUCCUACGGGAGGCAGCAGUGGGGAAUAUUGGGCAAUGGGGGAAACCCUGAUCCAGCCAUGCCGCGUGAAUGAUGAAGGCCUUCGGGUUGUAAAGUUCUUUUGGUGGGGACGAUGAUGACGGUACCCACAGAAUAAGCUCCGGCUAACUUCGUGCCAGCCGCCGCCGUAA